CGCGACCAGUCUAACCGUGGCACCUUUCCACCGGCCCUGAGCCCUGGCGUGCCCCUCCACGACAUCCCCUGGGCACGGAGUUGUGUCGACAGGUCUCUGUGACUGGCUGGGCAUGUUUUCGGGGUUUGCCCGCGGGGCAGCGUGUCUCAGAGUUUGGCUGUACGAAGCGGUGUUGACGGGCCACCAGGCCCUCGGGUUCCAAGAUGCAGCUACUGGAGACAGAGUUCUCGCACACCGUGGGCGAGCUCAUCGAGGUGCACCUGCGGCGCCAGGACAGCAUCCCUGCCUUCCUCAGCUCGCUCACCCUCGAGCUCUUCAGCCUCCAGACCGUGGCGUAGCCUGCGCCUCGGGGGCAUAGCCAGAGCCACUCUACUUGGCCUGACCUGCAGGUCCCUUGCCCCGCCAGCCACAGGCUGGGUGCACGUCCUGCCUCUCCAGCUCCACAGGGCAGCGGCAUGACUGACAGACACGCUGGGACCUACGUCGGGCUUCCUGCUGGGGCGGCCAGCACCCUCCCCACGUGCAGACCCCAUGCGUCCCGGAGCCUGGUGUGUGGGCGUCGGCCACCAGCCCGGGCUCCUCACCUUGUGAAAUAAAAUCUUCUCCCCUAGACACUCCCACUCGCCCUGUGUAUCUGUGGCCUAGCCCUAGCAGGGUAGGCGGGAGGAGGGGAAGGAGCUCCCUCAGCAGCCGCCGCCAUCUGCAGACCGGACAACGUUAGGGUGAGUCAGGCAUUUCCGCUCAGGGAGUGCACAGGUGGCAGCUGGGACCAAGGGUGGCUGGGGUGCCCCCCCACCACCAUGGGCUGAGGCCCCUCCGCGUAGCAGCUUCCAGCUCUGCCUCAAGGCCGGGCCCCAGCUCUGGGGCUUCCCUUUGCUGAUGGAACCCGGAUGGAGGCACAGGGGCUGGGGGGACUGUCCUCACAGAUAAGGGUGCAUCGAGGAGAGACUGCCCUCUGUGCCCAUCUCUCCAGGGCCAUAGAAAUACAUUCCAUAGACC
rnacentral:lncRNA from 10 species